GGGGGCGUGGUGUAGUGGUUAACACGCUGGCCUGUCAAGCCAGAGAUCGCGGGUUCGAUCCCCGUCGCUCCCG
rnacentral:tRNA from 4 species